rnacentral:rRNA from 1 species
CACGUAGGCACCAAGCGUUGUCCGGAUUUAUUGGGCGUAAAGAGCUCGUAGGCGGUUCAGUAAGUCGGGUGUGAAAACUCUGGGCUUAACCCAGAGCCGCCACUCGAAUACUGCUGUGACUUGAGUUCGGUAGGGGAGCAGGGAAUUCCUAGUGUAGCGGUGAAAUGCGCAGGAUAUUAGGAGGAACACCGGUGGCGAAGGCGCUGCUCUGGGCCGAUACUGACGCUGAGGAGCGAAAGCGUGGGGAGCGAACAGG